rnacentral:misc_RNA from 1 species
CCGAGUUUACAACUCCCAAACCCUGUGAACAUACCACUUGUUGCCUCGGCGGAUCAGCCCGCUCCCGGUAAAACGGGACGGCCCGCCAGAGGACCCCUAACUCUGUUUCUAUAUGUAACUUCUGAGUAAAACCAUAAAUAAAUC